rnacentral:rRNA from 1 species
GACGAACGCUGGCGGCGUGCUUAACACAUGCAAGUCGAACGGAAAGGCCCUGCUUUUGUGUGGUGCUCGAGUGGCGAACGGGUGAGUAACACGUGAGUAACCUGCCCUUGACUUUGGGAUAACUUCAGGAAACUGGGGCUAAUACCGGAUAGGAGCUCCUGCUGCAUGGUGGGGGUUGGAAAGUUUCGGCGGUUGGGGAUGGACUCGCGGCUUAUCAGCUUGUUGGUUGGGUAGUGGCUUACCAAGGCUUUGACGGGUAGCCGGCCUGGGAGGGUGAACGGGCACAAUGGGACUGAGGUACGGACCAGACUCCUACGGGAGGCAACAGGGGGGAAUAUUGCACAAUGGGCGGAAGCCUGAUGCAGAAACGCCGCGUGCGGGAUGAAGGCCUUCGGGUUGUAAACCGCUUUAGCCUGUGACGAAGCGUGAGUGACGGUAAUGGGUAAAGAAGCACCGGCUAACUACGUG